GAUGAACGCUAGCGGCAGGCCUAACACAUGCAAGUCGAGGGGUAUUAGGGGCUUGCUCCUAAGAGACCGGCGCACGGGUGCGUAACGCGUAUGCAAUCUGCCUUGUACAGAGGGAUAGCCCAGAGAAAUUUGGAUUAAUACCUCAUGGUGUAAUGAACUGGCAUCGGUUUAUUACUAAAGCUUCGGCGGUACAAGAUGAGCAUGCGUCCCAUUAGCUAGUUGGUAAGGUAACGGCUUACCAAGGCUACGACGGGUAGCUGGUCUGAGAGGACGAUCAGCCACACUGGAACUGAGACACGGUCCAGACUCCUACGGGAGGCAGCAGUGGGGAAUUUUGCACAAUGGGCGAAAGCCUGAUGCAGCAACGCCGCGUGUGUGAUGAAGGUCUUCGGAUCGUAAAGCACUUUCGAUCGGGACGAAAACUAGAAGGUUAAUAGUCUUCAGCUUGACGGUACCGAGAGAAGAAGCACCGGCUAACUCUGUGCC
rnacentral:rRNA from 1 species